CGAGUCUUAAUUGGGCGUUAAGUUGCAGGGUAUAGACCCGAAACCCGGUGAUCUAGCCAUGGGCAGGUUGAAGGUUGGGUAACACUAACUGGAGGACCGAACCGACUAAUGUUGAAAAAUUAGCGGAUGACCUGUGGCUGGGGGUGAAAGGCCAAUCAAACCGGGAGAUAGCUGGUUCUCCCCGAAAGCUAUUUAGGUAGCGCCUCGUGAAUUCAUCUCCGGGGGUAGAGCACUGUUUCGGCUAGGGGGCCAUCCCGGCUUACCAACCCGAUGCAAACUGCGAAUACCGGAGAAUGUUAUCACGGGAGACACACGGCGGGUGCUAACGUCCGUCGUGAAGAGGGAAACAACCCAGACCGCCAGCUAAGGUCCCAAAGUCAUGGUUAAGUGGGAAACGAUGUGGGAAGGCCCAGACAGCCAGGAUGUUGGCUUAGAAGCAGCCAUCAUUUAAAGAAAGCGUAAUAGCUCACUGGUCGAGUCGGCCUGCGCGGAAGAUGUAACGGGGCUAAACCAUGCACCGAAGCUGCGGCAGCGAACGUAUCACCCAAGACAACUUUACGGAGUUGACGAUUGACGGAGCGAAGCGACGUCAAAGCGUUCAUUAAAGUCGAGUUGGCUUAGGGAUACGUUCGUUGGGUAGGGGAGCGUUCUGUAAGCCUGUGAAGGUGUGUCGUGAGGCAUGCUGGAGGUAUCAGAAGUGCGAAUGCUGACAUAAGUAACGAUAAAGCGGGUGAAAAGCCCGCUCGCCGGAAGACCAAGGGUUCCUGUCCAACGUUAAUCGGGGCAGGGUGAGUCGACCCCUAAGGCGAGGCCGAAAGGCGUAGUCGAUGGGAAACGGGUUAAUAUUCCCGUACUUGGUGUUACUGCGAAGGGGGGACGGAGAAGGCUAUGUUGGCCGGGCGACGGUUGUCCCGGUUUAAGCGUGUAGGUGUGUGUUCCAGGUAAAUCCGGUUCACUUUAACACUGAGGCGUGACGACGAGGCACUACGGUGCUGAAGCAACAAAUGCCCUGCUUCCAGGAAAAGCCUCUAAGCAUCAGGUAACAUCAAAUCGUACCCCAAACCGACACAGGUGGUCAGGUAGAGAAUACCAAGGCGCUUGAGAGAACUCGGGUGAAGGAACUAGGCAAAAUGGUGCCGUAACUUCGGGAGAAGGCACGCUGACACGUAGGUGAAGUGAUUUACUCAUGGAGCUGAAGUCAGUCGAAGAUACCAGCUGGCUGCAACUGUUUAUUAAAAACACAGCACUGUGCAAACACGAAAGUGGACGUAUACGGUGUGACGCCUGCCCGGUGCCGGAAGGUUAAUUGAUGGGGUCAGCGCAAGCGAAGCUCCUGAUCGAAGCCCCGGUAAACGGCGGCCGUAACUAUAACGGUCCUAAGGUAGCGAAAUUCCUUGUCGGGUAAGUUCCGACCUGCACGAAUGGCGUAAUGAUGGCCAGGCUGUCUCCACCCGAGACUCAGUGAAAUUGAACUCGCUGUGAAGAUGCAGUGUACCCGCGGCAAGACGGAAAGACCCCGUGAACCUUUACUAUAGCUUGACACUGAACAUUGAGCCUUGAUGUGUAGGAUAGGUGGGAGGCUUUGAAGUGUGGACGCCAGUCUGCAUGGAGCCGACCUUGAAAUACCACCCUUUAAUGUUUGAUGUUCUAACGUGGACCCGUAAUCCGGGUUGCGGACAGUGUCUGGUGGGUAGUUUGACUGGGGCGGUCUCCUCCUAAAGAGUAACGGAGGAGCACGAAGGUUGGCUAAUCCUGGUCGGACAUCAGGAGGUUAGUGCAAUGGCAUAAGCCAGCUUGACUGCGAGCGUGACGGCGCGAGCAGGUGCGAAAGCAGGUCAUAGUGAUCCGGUGGUUCUGAAUGGAAGGGCCAUCGCUCAACGGAUAAAAGGUACUCCGGGGAUAACAGGCUGAUACCGCCCAAGAGUUCAUAUCGACGGCGGUGUUUGGCACCUCGAUGUCGGCUCAUCACAUCCUGGGGCUGAAGUAGGUCCCAAGGGUAUGGCUGUUCGCCAUUUAAAGUGGUACGCGAGCUGGGUUUAGAACGUCGUGAGACAGUUCGGUCCCUAUCUGCCGUGGGCGCUGGAGAACUGAGGGGGGCUGCUCCUAGUACGAGAGGACCGGAGUGGACGCAUCACUGGUGUUCGGGUUGUCAUGCCAAUGGCACUGCCCGGUAGCUAAAUGCGGAAGAGAUAAGUGCUGAAAGCAUCUAAGCACGAAACUUGCCCCGAGAUGAGUUCUCCCUGAGACUUAGAGUCUCCU
rnacentral:rRNA from 1 species